ACUAGUAACCAGCAGGUAGACUAGUGGUUAGAGCGUUGGACUAGUAACCAGCAGGUAGACUAGUGGUUAGAGCGUUGGACUAGUAACCAGCAGGUAGACUAGUGGUUAGAGCGUUGGACUAGUAACCAGCAGGUAGACUAGUGGUUAGAGCGUUGGACUAGUAACCAGCAGGUAGACUAGUGGUUAGAGCGUUGGACUAGUAACCAGCAGGUAGACUAGUGGUUAGAGCGUUGGACUAGUAACCAGCAGGUAGACUAGUGGUUAGAGCGUUGGACUAGUAACCAGCAGGUAGACUAGUGGUUAGAGCGUUGGACUAGUAACCAGCAGGUAGACUAGUGGUUAGAGCGUUGGACUAGUA